CCAAACUUUUUCUUAGGUCAUUUAAAACUCGGAUGACCAUAGCUGGUAAAUUGCUAAUACUCGAAGGACCAUUGGAUGUAUUAACUCU